GGGUUUCCGUACGACCAGCGAAGUUAAGCAACGUCGAGCCUGGUCAGUGCUUAGAUGGCUGACUGCUUGGGAAUGCUAGGUGCUGCAAA